rnacentral:rRNA from 1 species
GACGAACGCUGGCGGCGUGCUUAACACAUGCAAGUCGAACGGUGAAGCGAGUGCUUGCACUCGUGGAUCAGUGGCGAACGGGUGAGUAACACGUGAGUAACCUGCCCAUCACUCUGGGAUAAGCACUGGAAACGGUGUCUAAUACUGGAUACGACCAACCCUUGCAUGGGGUGUUGGUGGAAAGAUUUAUCGGUGAUGGAUGGACUCGCGGCCUAUCAGCUUGUUGGCGGGGUAAUGGCCCACCAAGGCGACGACGGGUAGCCGGCCUGAGAGGGUGACCGGCCACACUGGGACUGAGACACGGCCCAGACUCCUACGGGAGGCAGCAGUGGGGAAUAUUGCACAAUGGGCGAAAGCCUGAUGCAGCGACGCCGCGUGAGGGAUGACGGCCUUCGGGUUGUAAACCUCUUUCAGCAGGGAAGAAGCGAAAGUGACGGUACCUGCAGAAGAUGCACCGGCUAACUACGUG